rnacentral:lncRNA from 1 species
CUUUUCAUGAUAAAACUUAGUGACUAAUUAGGAGAAGUUGUUUUCGAAUUAAAACGAAUCUAGUAAAGAAUAAGUAAGAAUUUUGGGAAAUAUAGAGAAUGUAGUUGAGUGGAGUUAGGAUUAGCUAAAUUAUUUUAUCUAAUCUUCGAAAAGAUAAUGGUGAUGAAUAUAUGAAUGAAACUAAAUUGAUAUAUUAGUUAAUGUAUUUAAUUGAUAAACUUUAUUUGUGAGUUUAUUGAUGAAGUUUCAUUGACGUGAAUUAUUGAUGAAUUCUAUUUGUGUACUAAAUGAUGAAUUUUAUUGGUGUAUGAAUUCUUUUGGUGUAUUAGUGAUGUGUUCGUGCGUAUGCACAAUGACGGUGUUUUCGUGCUUAUGCACAAUGACGAGGUGUGAUUGUUCAUGAAUAUAACUAGGAUGUUCAAUUUAUUGAUGAUGAUAAAUAAGGAUUUAUCAUGCGUAGGUGUAUUCUAAAGA